AUUGAACGCUGGCGGCAGGCCUAACACAUGCAAGUCGAACGGUAACAGGAAGAAGCUUGCUUCUUUGCUGACGAGUGGCGGACGGGUGAGUAAUGUCUGGGAAACUGCCUGAUGGAGGGGGAUAACUACUGGAAACGGUAGCUAAUACCGCAUAACGUCGCAAGACCAAAAAGGGGGACCUUCGGGCCUCUUUCCAUCGGCUUUGCCCAGAUGGGAUUCGCUAGUAGGUGGGGUAACGGCUCACCUAGGCGCCGAUCCCUAGCUGGUCUGAGAGGAUGACCAGCCACACUGGAACUGAGACACGGUCCAGACUCCUACGGGAGGCAGCAGUGGGGAAUAUUGCGCAAUGGGCGCAAGCCUGAUGCAGCCAUGCCGCGUGUAUGAAGAAGGCCUUCGGGUUGUAAAGUACUUUCAGCGGGGAGGAAGGGAGUAAAGUUAAUACCUUUGCUCAUUGACGUUACCCGCAGAAGAAGCACCGGCUAACUCCGUG
rnacentral:rRNA from 1 species